GACAACGGGCUUGUUUUUCUGUUGUGUGCUUGGGCUGAUGCGUCUAUACACACAGACCCAGUAGACCCGUGCGGUCAGGGUAGCAUAAGCGCGGAGAUAUCAUUAUGAAAACACUGACUGUCGUCGGUGUUUCUUGGCUUGAUGAGGUGUCUGGACACAGAAGGUGAGGAACAGACGCCUUAACUCUGGGACUGGAACGGGCGCCCAUACCCUCCCCAGCUCUGGUCUUUGAUAUCUUGGUUUGAGUCUUACGUCAAUGUCGGGGAACAGAUUUUCACCCUCGUAGCUCUCCAAUGACCAUAAGAAACAGAACUACCAAUGAAACAGGCCAAGAUGACAGAAGCAACCAUAAUAAUCUUCAGACUGAACAAGGAAUACCAUAGCUCCAGACCUGCCUUACUUGUACUGAGAAUUAGAAAUGAGUUAUUUUCAUUUUUCUCUUGAACACGGUUGCUCUUAUUAAAGAAGCAGGGACGUGCCCUCACUCAUGAAGACAUGACCUCUGGGCCCUCGGUGGGCAAUGUCUGCUCUUGUGCUGCCUGGGCUCAGCAAGUUACUGGACCACUGUCCCUUGAGACCUGCAUCUGUGUGAUUUACCCACCUGAGAGCAUCUCUGAGGAUUAACUGAGCUAAGACGGGGGUCCUGCCAUGAACAGUCCAUCCUGACACUCCAUAAACGUUAGCUGCUGUUAGGAGGAUUAGGAGAGCAUGGCAAAUGUACACUUCCCUGAGCUUUUGUCUUGGGAAGGGAAUGGUUCAAGAGUGUGCCAAAGUCAAACUGAUUUAGUUUUAGAGAAAGACAUUGCUAUCUGCUGAGAUCUUACUCACCAAGCACCAGCUCACGGUGUGUGCUUACGGCUGAUGCAACUGUUAGAAAUAAGAGGCUCUGGAACAGCGGAUGCCUCCACAGUGGAGUCAUGGGAUGUGCUUUAUUUGUAGGGGGCUGGAUAAAUUCCGACCCGAGUUAUCUUGGGACGGCCCUUAAGUGGCCUGUGUGAGCCGCAUUUCGGGCUCAAGCCCAGUUCCUAGAGGACAGGUGUGAUAUGAGAAUGUUGGCGGUGGUCUCGGAAACUUUUGUGGGAGAUCAGUCCUCAGAUGGAUCCGAGGGUCCAAAAGAUGUCCCAACCCAGACAAGGGCCACCGGGUAGUGGUCUCAGACAUAAAAGCGAGGAAGCCAGCUGCCAAUGGUUGGGUGGAAAAAAACAGACACUGAUGAUUUUGGAAGCUUGCCGAUAUCUGACAUUUCAUAAACAUUAAAUGCAUUGACGAGAGAAUCGAUGCUUCCAAUAGAAA